UUAGAGGGUAGGUCUAUGGUAUGUGUUAGAGGGAUUCAGUAGGUCUAUGGUAUGUGUUAGAGGGUAGGUCUAUGGUAUGUGUUAGAGGGAUUCAGUAGGCCUAUGGUAUGUGUUAGAGGGAUUCAGUAGGUCUAUGGUAUGUGUUAGAGGGAUUCAGUAGGCCUAUGGUAUGUGUUAGAGGGUAGGUCUAUGGUAUGUGUUAGAGGGAUUCAGUAGGUCUAUGGUAUGUGUUAGAGGGUAGGUCUAUGGUAUGUGUUAGAGGGAUUCAGUAGGUCUAUGGUAUGUGUUAGAGGGAUUCAGUAGGCCUAUGGUAUGUGUUAGAGGGAUUCAGUAGGUCUAUGGUAUGUGUUAGAGGGAUUCAGUAGGUCUAUGGUAUGUGUUAGAGGGAUUCAGUAGGCCUAUGGUAUGUGUUAGAGGGAUUCAGUAGGU